UAGGGAAUAUUGGGCAAUGGAUGAGAGUCUGACCCAGCCAUGCCGCGUGCCGGAUGAAGGCCCUCAGGGUUGUAAAACGGCUUUUAUCCGGGAAGAAGAGCAGGGAUGCGUCCCUGUGUGACGGUACCGGAUGAAUAAGCACCGGCUAACUCCGUGCCAGCAGCCGCGGUAAUACGGAGGGUGCAAGCGUUGUCCGGAUUUAUUGGGUUUAAAAGGGGUGCGUAGGUGGCCCCCUUAAGUCAGUGGUGAAAGACAGCCGCUCAACGGUUGAGGUGCCAUUGAUACUGAGGGGGCUUGAAGCAGACAGAGGCUGCCGGAAUGGAUGGUGUAGCGGUGAAAUGCAUAGAUAUCAUCCAGAACACCGAUUGCGAAGGCAGGUGGCUAUGUCUGACUUGACACUGAGGCACGAAAAGCAUGGGGGAGCAAACAGGAUUAGAUACCCUGGUAGUCCAUGCCGUAAACGAUGAGGACUCGCUAUUGGCUUCUUUGGAGGUCAGUGGCUUAGCGAAAAGCGUUAAGUCCUCCACCUGGGGAGUACGCCGGCAACGGUGAAACUCAAAGGAAUUGACGGGGGUCAUAGCUGUUUCCU
rnacentral:rRNA from 1 species